ensembl:snRNA U4 U4 spliceosomal RNA
AGCUUUGCGCAGUGGCAGUAGCGUAGCCAGGGAGGUUUAGCCGAGGCGCCAUUACUGCUCAUGGAAAACUUUUCCCAGUACCCCGCCACGACGGCUUGAAAUAUAGUCGGCCUUGGCAAUUUUUGACAGUCUCCACGGAGA